UAGGGAAUCUUCCACAAUGGACGCAAGUCUGAUGGAGCAACGCCGCGUGAGUGAAGAAGGUUUUCGGAUCGUAAAGCUCUGUUGUUGGUGAAGAAGGAUAGAGGCAGUAACUGGUCUUUAUUUGACGGUAAUCAACCAGAAAGUCACGGCUAACUACGUGCCAGCAGCCGCGGUAAUACGUAGGUGGCAAGCGUUGUCCGGAUUUAUUGGGCGGAAAGCGAGCGCAGGCGGAAUGAUAAGUCUGAUGUGAAAGCACACGGCUCAACCGUGGAACUGCAUCGGAAACUGUCAUUCUUGAGUGCAGAAGAGGAGAGUGGAAUUCCAUGUGUAGCGGUGGAAUGCGUAGAUAUAUGGAAGGACGCCAGUGGCGAGGGCGGCUCUCUGGUCUGCAACUGACGCUGAGGCUCGAAAGCAUGGGUAGCGAACAGG
rnacentral:rRNA from 1 species